rnacentral:rRNA from 1 species
UACGUAGGGGGCAAGCGUUGUCCGGAUUUAUUGGGCGUAAAGCGCACGUAGGUGGUUCGCUAAGUCAGCUGUGAAAUCCCCGGGCUCAACCUGGGACUUGCAGUUGAAACUGGUGAGCUAGAGUAGGGUAGAGGGGUGUGGAAUUCCAGGUGUAGCGGUGAAAUGCGUAGAUAUUGGGAAGAACACCUGAGGCGAAGGCGGGUUGCUGGGCUGACACUGACGCUGAGGCGCGAAAGCCAGGGGAGCGAACGGG